rnacentral:rRNA from 1 species
CCUACGGGUGGCAGCAGUGAGGAAUAUUGGUCAAUGGCCGGAAGGCUGAACCAGCCAUGCCGCGUGAAGGUCAGUGCCCUAUGGGCGUUAAACUUCUUUUGUGCGGGAGCAAUAAUGGUCACGUGUGGCCACACGAGAGUACCGUACGAAUAAGCAUCGGCUAACUCCGUGCCAGCAGCCGCGGUAAUACGGGGGAUGCAAGCGUUAUCCGGGUUUAUUGGGUUGAAAGGGUGCGUAGGCUGUGAGGUAAGUCAGCGGGGAAAUGCCGCCGCUCAACGGGGUGAAGUGCCAUUGAUACUGCCUUGCUGGAAUGCGGAUGCCGUGGGAGGAAUGUGUGGUGUAGCGGUGAAAUGCAUAGAUAUCACACAGAACACCGAUUGCGAAGGCAUCUCACGAAUCCGCGAUUGACGCUGAUGCACGAAAGCGUGGGUAUCAAACAGGAUUAGAUACCCGGGUAGUC